AACGAACGCUGGCGGCAGGCCUAACACAUGCAAGUCGAGCGAGGACUUCGGUUCUAGCGGCGGACGGGUGAGUAACGCGUGGGAAUGUGCCCUUCUCUACGGAAUAGCCCUGGGAAACUGGGAGUAAUACCGUAUACGCCCUAUUGGGGAAAGAUUUAUCGGAGAAGGAUCAGCCCGCGUUGGAUUAGGUAGUUGGUGGGGUAAUGGCCUACCAAGCCGACGAUCCAUAGCUGGUUUGAGAGGAUGAUCAGCCACACUGGGACUGAGACACGGCCCAGACUCCUACGGGAGGCAGCAGUGGGGAAUCCUAGACAAUGGGGGCAACCCUGAUCUAGCCAUGCCGCGUGAGUGAUGAAGGCCUUAGGGUUGUAAAGCUCUUUCAGCUGGGAAGAUAAUGACGGUACCAGCAGAAGAAGCCCCGGCUAACUCCGUG
rnacentral:rRNA from 1 species